rnacentral:rRNA from 1 species
UGGGGAAUUUUGGACAAUGGGCGAAAGCCUGAUCCAGCAAUGCCGCGUGUGUGAAGAAGGCCUUCGGGUUGUAAAGCACUUUUGUCCGGAAAGAAAUGGCUCUGGUUAAUACCUGGGGUCGAUGACGGUACCGGAAGAAUAAGGACCGGCUAACUACGUGCCAGCAGCCGCGGUAAUACGUAGGGUCCAAGCGUUAAUCGGAAUUACUGGGCGUAAAGCGUGCGCAGGCGGUUGUGCAAGACCGAUGUGAAAUCCCCGAGCUUAACUUGGGAAUUGCAUUGGUGACUGCACGGCUAGAGUGUGUCAGAGGGGGGUAGAAUUCCACGUGUAGCAGUGAAAUGCGUAGAGAUGUGGAGGAAUACCGAUGGCGAAGGCAGCCCCCUGGGAUAACGCUGACGCGCAUGCACGAAAGCGUGGGGAGCAAACAGG